GCGGGUGUAGCUUAGCCCGGUUAAAAGCGUCCCCCUGUCACGGGGAAGAACGUGGGUUCAAAUCCCAUCGCCCGCG
rnacentral:tRNA from 4 species